CAGGGAAGUGUGAACAUUUAAAAGACCAUGCUUUUAUAAAGCCCAAAUAAUGUAAACUUACAAUAAAAACCCAUUUUUCCUCUUUUGAAACUCUUCAUAUUGCUAAUAAAGUGUUAAAAACAGUCUCAUUUAUGUCAUCCAAUAUGAAAGGCAUCAAAGAAGACCUGCAUUUUCUCCGGAUUACAGUAAAAACUCUCUUCCGUGUAUCAGAUCGCCUCCCUCCUCUCCUGUCCUUCCCCCACCUUUCCCUUUCCUCUCUACAGUAAGAGUUAAAGGCACACAGGAUGUGAUGGAAUGGAAUUGAAUAACCCUACUAGGCACCAGCUGUAUUGAGAAGUGUGCAAAUUAUUCCAAGAGCUGCUUGGGCACAGGGAGUGAGCUCAUUCCACAGUGCCAAGCAGACAGCCUGGCACAUAGUAGGUACUCAAAAACAACUUCUGAAGGAACUGAAUGACUCAGGGACAUCUGUUUCCUUCCCUCCUGCUGGAGUUUUCACGCUGAUGGAUAUAGUCAUAAUUAAGCUAUAAUAUCAUAAAAGGUAGUGAUUCAAGAGACAAGUACUACAAGAGAGCUACAAAUGAAGUGAUGUGGGAUUUCAAAGAAGGAGAGAGUUCAGAGGGCUUUGGAGCAGAAGAGGUAUUUGCUCUGAAUAUUGAAAAGGUGGCAGAAUUUGAACACAUUCAUAUAAGAGAGUGGAUAAAGGCAUUCCAGGAAGAGGAGAGAGCAAAAAUAGAAAGAAUGUGCCAAGGCAGGAAAGUGAGAAAUCAUGGUGCUCCUACCAAGUAGUAGACUUUGACCUGAAGGGGCAAAACGGGAAAUAGAUUGGAAAUGCAGCCUGAGGCCAGCUCUUGGGAGAUCCAAAAAGCCAACUUACAGAAUUUGGAUUUUGUAGGCAAAACGGAGACACGGAGCAGCAACAAGAUACAGAACUUCAGUAAUAUCUAUCUGGCUACAAGAUGUAAACUUGAUUAGAAGUGGGGAGGGACAGAGACCAGGGAGAAGACUACUAUAAGUGGAACAAUGAAAAUGGAAUGUAGUGUGGAAUGCCAGAGAGCACGGAAUGGCUGGACCACAGCCUCGCAGCACAGGCGAGGAGGGGGAGUCAGUGAGGAUGGGAAGGUUUUGAGUCUGGGUAUCAGAAGAUGGAGUAUAUUUAGUGGAAAACUGAUAAUCGGUUUUGAAUCACAUGAGUAUCAGAUGACGACUGGACGGCCAGAGUAAAGGACAAAAUACAAAAGUAGAAAUGGGGCAUGUGGUGGGACAGGGAAUGGGGUUGAAAAAAAAAUUUGAGAAAAGGCAAGAAAAUGGAAAAUCAUACAAUUUUUAUGAUAAAGAUAAUAGUUUAUAAUGUGUCUGCAGAGCCCAAAGAAAGAAAAAUGCCUUAUAAUAAGUGGGAAGAUACACUCCAAGAAGCAGGCCACUUAAAACACAAUAUGUAUUGUGAAAGUUGGAGCAACACAUCUUAGAGGAUGCUGUGUUGUCAUGAAGCCUCCUUUCCUAUUAACCAAGAACAUGCCUUCCUCUGCAUCCUCAUCAAAAUUCUUGGUCACAAAAGCUGGGUAAAUGAUUGAUGAGAAAGAAACUGGUGGUUGAUGGAAAUCAAAGGAAGAAGGCAGGGGCUUCUUCAGCAAUAAAUCAAGAGUGAAAGAACACGAAAUAAACCAUGUAAUUACACUUUUAAGUGACACCAGCACAGGAAUGCAAGAGAGCAAGGCAUGAGGUAAUGCUUCAUUUGGGUGAAAUCAGCUAGGCUUUCCAAUUUAAUAGGACACCAGAAGGAAUCCAUAAUUAAAGCCCAAUCACGUCAGAUAACUGGGCUCUUCAAUGUUACCAUUAUGAGGCAAUUAGUCUCUGGUACUGAAGGAAAGAGGUCCGAGGUAUCCUCAAAAAGUACUCAUGUAUUUUUCAUAUUACUACUUCAUGGCUGAAGGGUGGCAAGAAUGAGGAACUGGGUAAUUCCUGAGGUAAAGGAGCUGAACAUGCUGCCAGUGACUCAUGUGCUGUUGGAUCCAUUUGAAAGAGUCCAAGUCAGCAUCGCAUCAUCUGGUUUUCACAGAGACCACAGGGCAACAGACAGGGAGCCCCCUGGGUUUUGUGGACUUUCCAAAAUACUGAUGAAAGAAGAAAGCUGAAGUGUGAGAAGACAGUGAUACUAUUUGCAAGUUAUAUGGUACAUGAAGACACUGGCACUCUAACAUGGGGGAGACCAUACUUCAUAGGAUGUCAUGAUGACGGAGAACUGUUUGCAAUCGAUUCAGAAAUUCAUUUGCUCUACGGAGAACUUAGUUCUUUUUAUUCAGUCUCCCUUUUACUUCUUUGAAUAGUGGUUCCUUUGAAAAUUAAGUUUAUAGAGAGCAACUGUGUCUGUUAGGUUUUUUUCAAAGCGUCUGAACAUUGCAGGCUCUUAUUAAGAGUUAAGCUUUCGGGCCGGGCGUGGUGGCUCAUGCCUGUAAUCCCAGCACUUUGGGAGGCCGAGACGGG
rnacentral:lncRNA from 1 species